UACGGAGGGUGCAAACGUUGCUCGGAAUCAUUGGGCGUAAAGCGCACGUAGGCGGACUGUUAAGUCGGAUGUGAAAUCCCUCAGCUUAACUGAGGAAGUGCAUUCGAAACUGGCAGUCUUGAGUAUGGAAGAGGGUCGCGGAAUUCCCGGUGUAGAGGUGAAAUUCGUAGAUAGUCGGGAGGAACACCAGUGGCGAAGGCGGCGACCCUGGGCCAAUACUGACGCUGAGGUGCGAAAGCGUGGGGAGCAACAGGA
rnacentral:rRNA from 1 species